rnacentral:tRNA from 1 species
GGCAGUGUGGCUUAAUGGAUAGAGCAUGGGCCUGGGAGUCGGAAAGACCUGGGUUCUAAUCCCAGCUCCACCA